rnacentral:rRNA from 1 species
UACGGGGGGGGGCAAGCGUUGUUCGGAAUUACUGGGCGUAAAGGGCUCGUAGGCGGCCAACUAAGUCAGACGUGAAAUCCCUCGGCUUAACCGGGGAACUGCGUCUGAUACUGGAUGGCUUGAAUCCGGGAGAGGGAUGCGGAAUUCCAGGUGUAGCGGUGAAAUGCGUAGAUAUCUGGAGGAACACCGGUGGCGAAGGCGCAUCCUGGGACCGGCAAUUGACGCUGAGGAGCGAAAGCCAGGGGAGCAAACGGG